GACGAGGGGUCCAAGCGUUGUUCGGAAUCAUUGGGCGUAAAGCGGGUGUAGGUGGCUCUAUAAGUCAGAUGUGAAAGCCCCGGGCUUAACCCGGGAAGUGCUUUUGAUACUGCAGAGCUUGAAUGUGGGAGAGGGUAGUGGAAUUCCAGGUGUAGUGGUGAAAUACGUAGAUAUCUGGAGGAACACCGGUGGCGAAGGCGGCUACCUGGCCCAACAUUGACACUGAGACCCGAAAGCAUGGGGAUCAAACAGG
rnacentral:rRNA from 1 species